UAACACGAAUUGCGUCUUCAGCGCGCUGGAGCAGCAUCUGCCCACUGGAGUUGGCUUUAGUUUUGCGGACCUCUGUCAACUGAUUAAUUAAACGUUGACGCCGCGAUUCCAAAUGACCAAGCCCGGAGUUUCUUCGCCACCGAAAGCAACUGAUUAUAAUUCACCACACCCUCCACCUUAGAUCCAAAAAGAAGAUGAAAAAGGAAGGACAGUUUGAAUUUCAAGUCGUCUCACUUUGCGUUGAGUACGUUCAAUUCGACGAAUCAAAACUUCUCUAUCAUCUUCCAUCGAUUGGAGAUCUUUACGAAGGUCGAUGACGGUGUCAUUUACAAUUUGGCUUGCUUCGAAUUGCUUAUGCCUCUGUUUGAACUCUUCAAUCAGGAAUUCGUACUGUAAUCGAUCGAUAUAAUUUGAAAGAUAACCGGUGUUUUGGUUCUGUAAAAUUAUUUUCUCACCUGUUCGUAUAGAUCGAGUACGUCACUAUCUGAUCGCAUCUCAGGUGCGAUGUCAAUUUUGACGAGAUAACGAGAGAGAUAGGCUCGUUUCUUCAGCUCUUCCCUGCGCUGAAGUAGCCAAUUCAGUAUUGGGUUAAUUUUUUCCGGUCGACCUGAUAUCAAACCUUCACGAAAAUCAUUACUGUGCGCAAGGACGGGAAAAAAGGGGUUUGAAUUUGAAAAUUUGCAAAGAGGUUAACAAACGCAGAGCCAAAGCAUCGACGGGCUCAUCACUGAUAUCGACGCGAUUUUUAGAUUCAAUUUCACACAAGACAUCACUAAGAAGCUUUGAUUGAAAUCGUGGUAAUGCCAAGAGAAAAAUGUUAUUAGAUCACAUGUAUAUUUCUUUAAAAAUAUAACUUGUAUGAUUAUCCGUACUUGCAGUAGCUGAGGGGGAUGAAGGGCGUUAAACGUGACACUCGUCAAGUUUAAAUUGAAAGGUGGUUGGUUUAAUUCGUUGACAAUCAUUUUUACUAACUGUGCCAUGUUAACAACGGCAGCACGAUUAAAAACAGCAAUAUUAACACGAAUUAUUCGGAA